AAAGCGAGCGGCGGAUGGGUGAGUAACACGUGGGGAACCUGCCCCUAAGUCUGGGAUACCAUUUGGAAACAGGUGCUAAUACCGGAUAAUAAAGCAGAUCGCAUGAUCAGCUUUUGAAAGGCGGCGUAAGCUGUCGCUAAGGGAUGGCCCCGCGGUGCAUUAGCUAGUUGGUAAGGUAACGGCUUACCAAGGCGACGAUGCAUAGCCGAGUUGAGAGACUGAUCGGCCACAUUGGGACUGAGACACGGCCCAAACUCCUACGGGAGGCAGCAGUAGGGAAUCUUCCACAAUGGACGCAAGUCUGAUGGAGCAACGCCGCGUGAGUGAAGAAGGUUUUCGGAUCGUAAAGCUCUGUUGUUGGUGAAGAAGGAUAGAGGUAGUAACUGGCCUUUAUUUGACGGUAAUCAACCAGAAAGUCACGGCUAACUACGUGCCAGCAGCCGCGGUAAUACGUAGGUGGCAAGCGUUGUCCGGAUUUAUUGGGCGUAAAGCGAGCGCAGGCGGAAAAAUAAGUCUAAUGUGAAAGCCCUCGGCUUAACCGAGGAACUGCAUCGGAAACUGUUUUUCUUGAGUGCAGAAGAGGAGAGUGGAACUCCAUGUGUAGCGGUGGAAUGCGUAGAUAUAUGGAAGAACACCAGUGGCGAAGGCGGCUCUCUGGUCUGCAACUGAC
rnacentral:rRNA from 1 species